CCAGCUCGUGUCGUGAGAUGUUGGGUUAAGUCCCGCAACGAGCGCAACCCCUACGUUUAGUUGCUAACAGGUGAAGCUGAGCACUCUAGACGAACUGCCGUUGACAAAACGGAGGAAGGUGGGGAUGACGUCAAAUCAUCAUGCCCCUUAUGUUCUGGGCUACACACGUGCUACAAUGGCCGGUACAGACGGAGGCGAAGCCGCGAGGCGGAGCAAAUCCGAAAAAGCCGGUCUCAGUUCGGAUUGCAGGCUGCAAUUCGCCUGCAUGAAGUCGGAAUCGCUAGUAAUCGCAGGUCAGCAUACUGCGGUGAAUACGUUCCCGGGCCUU
rnacentral:rRNA from 1 species